rnacentral:pre_miRNA from 1 species
CUGGCUCUGACAGAAUGAGAGUGUGAAGUUUUAGAUUUUUUUUUGCUCUCUAAAACUUACACUCUCAUUCUGUCAGAGCCCAG